rnacentral:rRNA from 1 species
AGAGUUUGAUCCUGGCUCAGAUUGAACGCUGGCGGCAGGCUUAACACAUGCAAGUCGAACGGUAACAGGGAUUAGCUUGCUAAUUUGCUGACGAGUGGCGGACGGGUGAGUAAUGCUUGGGAAUCUGGCUUAUGGAGGGGGAUAACUACGGGAAACUGUAGCUAAUACCGCGUAAUAUCUUCGGAUUAAAAGGUGGGACUUUCGGGCCACCUGCCAUAAGAUGAGCCCAAGUGGGAUUAGGUAGUUGGUUAGGUAAAGGCUGACCAAGCCGACGAUCUCUAGCUGGUCUGAGAGGAUGACCAGCCACACUGGAACUGAGACACGGUCCAGACUCCUACGGGAGGCAGCAGUGGGGAAUAUUGCACAAUGGGGGGAACCCUGAUGCAGCCAUGCCGCGUGAAUGAAGAAGGCCUUCGGGUUGUAAAGUUCUUUCGGUGACGAGGAAGGUUGAUAGGUUAAUAGCCUAUCAAAUUGACGUUAAUCACAGAAGAAGCACCGGCUAACUCCGUGCCAGCAGCCGCGGUAAUACGGGGGGUGCGAGCGUUAAUCGGAAUAACUGGGCGUAAAGGGCACGCAGGCGGUGACUUAAGUGAGAUGUGAAAGCCCCGAGCUUAACUUGGGAAUUGCAUUUCAUACUGGGUCGCUAGAGUACUUUAGGGAGGGGUAGAAUUCCACGUGUAGCGGUGAAAUGCGUAGAGAUGUGGAGGAAUACCGAAGGCGAAGGCAGCCCCUUGGGAAUGUACUGACGCUCAUGUGCGAAAGCGUGGGGAGCAAACAGGAUUAGAUACCCUGGUAGUCCACGCUGUAAACGAUGUCGAUUUGGGGAUUGGGCUUUGAGCUUGGUGCCCGUAGCUAACGUGAUAAAUCGACCGCCUGGGAGUACGGCCGCAA